rnacentral:lncRNA from 1 species
CCCCAUCCCCCCCCCACGCCACGCCCUGCGAGCACCUCCAUGGUAGCCUGAGACAAGAGGAUUUCAAGUGUGAGGCCAGCCUUAACUACAUAGCAUGGCCCCGUUUCAAAGAAACAAAACCAAAAUCAGGUAUCUUUAGAUAGCUCACUAAGGAGAUUAACAGUUCAAAGACGUUCAGAGGGAGGGGGCAGUGAAGCUUCGUAGGAGGGAAGAACUCUGCAGAGUUAGAAACAAAGUUCACAUCCCCUUCAUUUCCCUGCCUCUACAUGGGAAAAAAUGGACUUUGAUCCCCUGAAACCGGCUUCCUGACUGCUUAUCAGGAACAGAGAGCGUGAUAGGUGAGGCUCUUCCAGCUUGUAAACCUCUCCACACCACUGCUGAAGGUGGCUUCUGGGAAGCUGCAGACAACCCCUGUGAAAGGAUGGUUCGAAUCCAAAGGGGUCAUGACCCACAGGUUGUGAACUGCUGGUCUAGAGGUAACAUUUGGAGUGAGAACACUGGUUCUUCUGACUGGCAGCUAUACGGACAGAGCCUUCAUCCAGCAGCUGGUGGAAGUAGAAGCAGACACCCACAACUAAUCACCGAACUGAACUGGAAUCCAGAUACAGAGAAGGAUGAGUGAAGAGCACAGGGGUCCAGACUAGGCUGGUGAAACCCACAGAAACAGCUGACCUGAACAUCCAGGAACUCUUGCUCCCCAGACUGAUAGCUGGAAUACCAGAAUGGGACUGAUCCAGACCCCAGGAACAUGGGUUUCUGUGAGGAAACCUCAGAAAUCUACGGGACCUCCUGUAGAAGUUCAGUACUUAUCCCUAUCAUUGAUGUGGACUUUGGGAGCCCAUUCCAUAUAGAGGAAUACUCCCUGAGCAAAGACACAUAGGGGUGGGCCUAGGCCCUAUCCCAAAGGAUACAACAGACUCUGAU